GGUCCCCAUAGGAACUAUCAUGCAAAAAUGGAACCAAUGCCAGAGAAUCCCAACACAUGAAACCCUAGCCAUGGAUCUCUACAAAGAAUGCUCGGUGAUCCCUUAUCCCCAGUUUUCUCUACACCUCGUAAUCCUUCAGAUCACUCACCAUUGCGAAGCUCAUAAUCCCUUGCUAUAAGCUGAUGCCACUUACGGAGCCUGACCCGGAGGUUCCAUCUAGAGGCAGAUCGUUCUUGAUCCAGACUCCGCAAGAUCGAAAUGUACUCUCCCAUAUUCUAUGCGGCUUACAUCGCCACCCCGCUCAAUCUCGUGAAGUGCAACAUACCGAUACAAUUAUGAAAUUUACAUCUUUUGGGACUAUUGUUGGGAUGAUAAUAUGAUAUACAAGCAUGCCAUUCCAACACCAAAGGUGGAUCAAUGCAGUAAAACCUCUUCAGCAGUGAGUGAGCUUUGCAUGAGGUUAUAUUGCUGGGGUUUUCUGUGCUAUUGUUUCUCAUCCAGCCGACAACCUUGGUUCUUCCCUUAACAAUGCCAAGGGAGCAACUAGAAGUGAAGGUGUGAAGAAGCAUGGGAUGUGGGGUCUAUUCACCACUGGCCUUCCUCCUCCCAUUGUUAUGAUUGGGAAUACAUGAUGCCUGCUUAGUUCUGAUUUUGUUCCUUGUUAAUACAAUCUCUCACCGUUACUGAAUCUAAUACUAGUUGUUUUACAUCUCAGACCCACAAUUGGUGAUGAUACUGCUUACUUGACUGAGAAUAACUAGUGGUAAUAAAGAAGGUUUCUAGUGGUCAUAAAAUGGAGGCCGGAAUUUAUAAUCUUUUUGCAUUGUUUACACCUUUCUGUAUCUUGUAUUGCUUUCAUCAUGAAUCCGGUUCUCUCAUCUUUGAUUUAUAUCUAAACUUUGUAUGUAAUAGCAGGUGCUCUGCUCUGAAUUUAAAUGAUAUAUGAAGUUAACUUUA